rnacentral:lncRNA from 1 species
ACCAGAGCUCCUCAACGACGACAGCACAAUCUGCUAAGUUCCUUCUUGUACGGUAACUCUUGUACACCUUUUGUAGCGUAGUUGCAGCUGCAUCAAGCUCGGUGACCGGUCUAGGUGAGAAGAACACAAAAGGCUCAGGUGGAGUUACUGUGGGUUUCUUUAUUUGGAUUCUCUCACAGUUUCUCCCGUUCAAAGUGUUAUGAGUUGACUUCUUUGUCUCAAGAACCUUAAAACCUGAAUCAUUUUUUGUUUCCUCAGUAUUUGAGCUCAAUUUGUGAGCUGCAGCAUCCAAACUCUUCUGCCUACAACAUUUGAAGCAACACUUAGAUUAGUGUAAACAUCUUUAUAAGACAUCACAAGAAGAAGAUCAAUCAAGUAACUCACCAAAGCUCCUCUACAAGGACAGCACAAUCUGCUAAGUUCCUUCUUGUCCGGUAACUCUUGUACACCUUUUGUACGGUAGUUGCAGCUGCAUCAAGCUCGGUGACCGGUCUAGGGGAGAAGAACACGAAAGGCUCAGGUGGAGUAAUCGUAGGUUUCUUUAUUUGGAUUCUCUCACAGUUUCUUCCAUUCAAAGUGCUAGGCGUUGACUUCUUUGUCUCCCAGACAUCAAAAUUUGAAUCAGUCUUGGUAUCUUCAGGAACCUCCCAGCUGUUGAAACUCAACGACCGCUGCAUAGUUGGUUUCCGAUUAAUCUUAGGAGAGUUCUGGUGAGUAGUGUUAUCUCUAUUGAAACUGUUGGUUCUUGAAGUCAAGCCUCCGUCUUUAAUUUUCAAGCUAAGGGAGCCAACUUCAAGACCCAUGGACACAAUAAAGCCAGAGGAUACUUCCAAAAUAUAUUAAUAUAGAAACCUCCUGUACACGUCAAUACAGAUGAGUAUCAGCCUUUAAUUUAAUUGAAAUAAAACUAUAGUCUUAUUAAUAGUAGCUACACCAACCAAACAUUGAUAAAAACAUAUCGUCCAGACAUCCCGACAAAUACCUUUUGUUAAGUGAUUAGUAGAUAGAAGAACCAAAACAAAUGGCACCAAGAGAAAGAUGAGCUACAAACAAUUAAAAGAAUUUUAAAACAAUGUGGAGAAAUCUUUUCUUAAUUCUCCAAUUUUGUGUAGAUUGCUGUAGUCCAGCGGUAUAGUGUGCAACAACUCGUUCAGUUCAAAAAAAAAAAACAAUGUGGAGAAAAAGGAAACGAGGGAUUUGAAUAAUUGAAUAUGUCCAACAUAGGUUGAAGAAGACUUAUAUAGCUAUGUAGGCAUAGAUAUGUGUAGUGUGGGCAGUUGGAAGACUAGUAAUAGAGUAAAAGUCUUAAUUACAUAAUCUUUGAAGACGGAAGAUUCAAACUUGGUGUGUCUGAGAAAGAUGAACAUUUGAAUAUUAUAGAAAAGGGUGGGUUAGGAGAAAAUAGAGGAUGUGGGGGUCCUAUUAGAUAUGGAGGCUAUACUGAAGCCUCAAGGUAAGUUCAUGGAAGUUAUUGAGAAAAGGACUAUACACAUGAUCUAUUCCAAUUCUUAAUUAAUGUUAGUGAUUUGAUAUUCUGAGUUUGAUUUUUCCAAUAGAAAUACAACUAACAACUGGUCCUAAAGAUGGUCUUAAAUGUGAUUGGUGUUCAAAACAAAAUGUGUCGUCAAAAGUUAUUGCUCCCUUUUCACACGGACUGAGAAAGUAGCGAAAUAUAUGUAAGUUGAUAUUAAUUACAUCUUUCUGAUCAAUAGUAUUUGAGAUAAAUAAAAUUAUUUAUAAAACCAAUAUAGUUUGCAAUUAAUUUAUAGUUGAAAGUAAGUAUAAUUUGUAUUGGAAUUGCAAAGUGACACUUUUUGUGUAACAUGAAAAAAAUGCUAGUAAAAAAAAAAAAAUAGAAUGAUAUUUAUUAUGAAACAGACAGUAUAUUAUUAUAUUUUUCUUUUUUUCUGUGUGAAUUUAUAUAUUAUUAUUAUUAUUAUAUAUUAUUAUAUCUUUGUCAUGACUUUGUGACUAGUCGAUGCGUGCGGGUCAAGCAUGUUUGUCUAGAGUGCAUGUGGUUUAUAUUGCACUUGUUAGUUGGUUACUAAUGACUUUCUUGGAAUUGAAGGGUUCGAAAUUGAAAACUUUAUUAUGAGAUCAAGUAAAAACAUAGAGGAUAUUCUAUAGUUAAGCGGAAGUAUUUUCGUGUCUAGUCACAAUAUGAAUCUAUUUGUAGAAAAAUGCUCUAAUUUCUGGAAUAUUUGUAAUUGACAAUUUAUUCGUCAACUAAAUGUGAGUUAACUUUACAAAGUAUGCUUCAAUAUUUGUCAAUGUUAAAAAUAAAUGUAGAUUGAUAAGUUUGUUAUAAAUCCAUGAUAUGGAUAUGUGGAUUGCCAUUAACCAUUAAGGAGGUUUACAUCUGACCCGACUAUCCGGUCCGUCUACACCCGUCUCCGGUCCGUCUACAUCCGACCAAGACUAGUCAAGAUGAAGACUCAUUCAACCGGAGCAUUUAUGAGCUUUGACCAAGUCUAGAUAUUUGUAGUCAAAUGUAUUAAAUGUGUAGAUUCUCUCCUUUGUGUAAACCCUUAUGAACCUCCACUAUAUAUUGAUAGUGAGAGCUAAUGAGAAAGACACAACUUUCAAAGCAACACUUCUCUCAUAUUUCUAACACGUUAUCAGCACGAUUGUGCUCUCCACCUGAGAAAUCUCUCUCAGCCGGCGCAAGGCGUAUUGAAGUUGAGCAGGUGAAGUUCAACAGGUGGAUGAAGCCGGAUGAGCUUUAUUCAGAAUAUGUGAGGCUGAGAAGGUCGGUUCUCAGGAGGCUGCAAGAGAUGCAGAAGGUGAGCAUGUUUUUUGCUCUGGCUUCAAGAAGUAUUUGAAGCAACUCUGAAGAUUCUCGGAGUAGUCGAGCACUAGGGUGUUUAGCACUGUCUGGCAUUUCACGAGUUGGCAACAUGGUAGCUGCAGAUAGAGCUGAUUAAUCAUUAAGGUGGAGAUUGUUACGUUGGUGAUGAAGAAUCAGUUAUAUUGGAAGCUUAAACCACACCGAGAUUGAAAAUUGAGUUAUAUGGCGUUUUUGGUUAAACGGCCGACUAAUAUUACUCAAUGGUUUACGGUUAUUGGAAACCGGUUAUCAGUUGUAACUACCCUUGCCUAAUAUAAAAGCAAGGCUCGUGAGUUGUAUUAGAUAUCAGAGAAAGAUAGAUUAUACUAGGGUUACAAACUUUAGGUCACGACCGUUGUGAUCUUGGAAGAGUUUAGUAAUUUGCCUUGCCAGGCCCCAGGGACGUAGCCCCACCGGUGAACUCUUGGUCAUCAAAUAAACUAUGUAUUGAGGUUUAGUCAAGACGACCGGACUUGUUCAAGUUGGGCUAACUUGCACAAGUCACGCGCGUAUGGACUAUGGGCCUAUUUGACAAAGCCCAUUAGGUCAAAUUCUGAUUAUAUUAGUUGGAGAGGUCACGACAGAUGACCUAACACAAGACAGACACAAGUGAAACACAGAGGAGAGGCACGAAAGAGUGGAGCUCGAGAGAGCUCAAGACCAGGGCUUAGUCUGAAGAGAGAGAGCUAGAGAGAACUAGGUUCUCGGUACCCUAGCUAGGCUCUUCCCUAUAUACUUGUAUCUCUAGGUGAUUUGUAACAGAGAUCAAGAGAGGUCAACAUAAACAAUAACCUCUGGAUAUUGUACUCUCGUGUUUUUGAUAUAAUGGAAAGUUGAGAGACCGAUUUCUCUCUCCGGUGAGUAUAGCUCCUUCUUCACAUCGAGGAAGGGAGGUGAACACCGGGUUAACAAAAGUGUCUUGUGUUCCUUCUUAUCUUGCUUGAUUUGUGUUCCGCGUAUUUGAUUAGUGACUAGGUUUGCGAUAAAUAACUACUGUAAGAUUCUAGGAAAGAGAAAAAUUCCCUAACGAUUAUGUUUUGAGCCUAGCUUUUGUUCUUGUUUCAAUAAUUGUGGAUGGUCUCUGUUUUGGUUCGUGACAAAAGUGUCUUUCUAGGUGUUCAUAUGAAGUUCCAAAUGGUGUUAUUUGUGUUAUUAUAUGGUACCGGUUUAGGGUUGUGCGAGCUUUAAGGUUCCGACAAAUUGGUCUUUAGAAUAGGAAGUUGCUUCAAGUCUAUAAACAAGCUUCAUUGACUUGUUUCUGUCCGCAUUUAAAGAUCGGUCCAUUCUUCCCCAGUGGUCACUAUCAUCAUGACAUCUGUUUCAAGUAUUCAACUCUUUCUACGAGACUUUCAUCUUAAGUUUUAGCUUGCCAUAUCUUCUUUUGUUCAUAUCCUUGUAGUUUCGUUUUUGAGUUUCUCGUUUGGCUCCAGAAAGAUUACGAUUCUUAUCAGUUUAUGGCUCAGAAAGGAAUGUGUUUUUUGCGGACUUAUGAACAACAUCCACGUUUUUAUUUAUUCAAAUAUUUGGAUCUAAACAGCCCACAAAACGAUCAUACAAAGAACUACUCGAAACAACAAAAAAUCUUGCAAUUCACGAAAUAUACAAAAGAUAUAAAAGAACAAAGAAAGACGGAGGCUAGCUUCUCCUCUUCUAACCUAUUCUUUCUUGAUUAAACAAGUGUAAGUUUUAGCAUUUCACACCUCUAGGGCUUGGGAUCCCCAUGUAAGCUAACCGUGGAGAAACCCUCACUCUAGGACUCGGUCUUGGAGAUGGGAUUGGUCCAUACGAAUAGGCUGGUGAGACACGAGGUGAGAGAUUGACUUGCUCCAAUGCUUGUGCCUGUAGCUCCACUGGAUAAUCUCUAACACACCCAAUUCUUGGACCGUAUCCACUUGACCAUUUACAAGAAAGUCUCUUCGCAUGAUCAAACACUGGUCUCGCUCUCUCUUCUUGCCCUGAAGGCAACUCAACUUCUUCUGAUACUUCUUUUGGUUCAUCUUCUUCUUCAGUAGUGGAUUUGAAUGACGACGAAUACUCUUCAUUCACAGCACAUCUCUGCAAUACAUAUUAAAUUUAUAUCUCGUUAAUACAAAGAUGUCAAGAACACGAAAGAAUGUAAUGUUUUUAUUUGUUUCCUUACCUUAACAUUGGUGAGAACAACAUUGUGCUCCUCCAAGAAACUUAUGAACUCCUUGAAGUUUUCUUCUGUUGGGAGAUAGUGUCCACUAUAUGGCCAUAUAGCCUGAAGAGGCGUAAGACCAUUUUAGUUUACACAAGAUGAGAUUCAUACACGAUGGAGAAGCAAGACAUGUAACUUAAGUACCUCAAGGAUCCCAUCACGGGCCACCAAUCUUCCUGCAGCGGUUGUGGCUCCUCCAGAUAAGAAACUAGAGUGCUGGAAAACGCCUUUCUUCUUCUUCCCUACGUAUAAGGUUCUAGUCGUGCUAAGUACAAAUAUGGACUUUGAUUCAUCAGUUGAGUUGAUCAGAUCCAUGCUUUGUUUGUACAUUAGUCUCCCAUCUUCCACUAUCACUUCAUAUGCUUCUCUCUCCAUCUGAACGUUUGAAGAAACCACAAAGAGUGAUGAGUAAUCAAGAAGGUAAACCUAGCUAACUAGUACUCCUGUAAGAAACUCACUGGUCCGAGAUAACUGAUGCAUUGUUUCUGCAGAACACUUCUUGGGUGUUUCUCAAGAUUUACGUCUUUUCCGUCUCCUAUAUCCAACCUUUAGUUUCAAAUGAGUUGAAACGGAGUUUAAAACAGAUUCAAAAACAAAAAGAUCUAAGAUGAAUGUUUGGUUCUAACACUAACCAGUAAAAGAAUGGCUGUGAGCUCUUGCUCUCUGACCAGACAUCAUAAUAGAAGUGCAAGUUGUGGCCAUAACGAUGACGUGGGUCAAUCUGUUGAUAAAAGAAAAGACGAUCAGAUUAGAUUCCCAACAUCAAAGAGGAACCUAUAACUUUGACCUUGUGUUCUACUACCCAAUUUCCAUGACUUAAAUCUAGGUGCACCAAUAAUCUAGAUAGUUCUUUUAGGAUUAAAAAAAAAAACACUUCUAGUAAUAAAUAUAACUUCCUAUAGAAAAAAAUAUAUUUAAAAGUAUAAAUAGGAAUUAAAAAAAAUUGUAAUUUAUUCAUUCACACAAUCAAUAAACAAAUCCUAAAAAUAGGUGUUUGUAUCAGUCUAAUUGUGCUCUAUAAUUUUUUUUAUUUCCUCGAGUUUAGGUCGCAGAUUCACUUGACAAAAUUCAUCGAUAUGAUUCUUGACAUGUCCUAUCAAUUACCAAAAAGAGGUCAUGGGGACUUACCGCUUCAAGCCAAUGCUGAAGAGCUAAUUUCUGAGCCUUUUCAUCUUUUGACAAGCCUUUCCCAACCUGCAAGAUUGAGACCACAUUUGUUUUUUCAUAAGAGCAUCAUUAUUGGGAGUAUCUAGCUAGUAGGAGUUCUCAAAGUACAAUAAAUUUAUAAUUAUUAUAAAUUAUUAUGUUGGAUAUCUCAAAAUCAUGAGAACCACACACCAGAGUAUCUCAAAGUAUGUUUGGUGUAGAAUUCACGAGAUUUUGAGAUACCUUUAUUUAUCUAUACAUACACAUGUGUUUAUAUUGAUAAUCCCUUGACAUGCUUUAACAAAGAGAAAUAGUGAAACUAAUAACACCUUGACUUAAAAGUAAGCAGAGAGAAAGAACUUGUGAAAAUGAAGUCAGACCUUAGCGGCUCGUGUUCUAGCUCGCACCCAUUUUGAAGCAGCGGGCUCAUGUUUCUCUUCUUCAAAGAAAGACACAGAGCUCAGGUCCAGAGUUGCAGCAUCAAGAGUCUUCCACCUAUAACGUUACAAGCAAUAACAACAGUUAAGUUAAAUCAUCUUUAAAAAACAUUAAAAAGAUGAAAAUGGUUUGUGCAACUCACCAGAGCUCCUCAACGACGACAGCACAAUCUGCUAAGUUCCUUCUUGUACGGUAACUCUUGUACACCUUUUGUAGCGUAGUUGCAGCUGCAUCAAGCUCGGUGACCGGUCUAGGUGAGAAGAACACAAAAGGCUCAGGUGGAGUUACUGUGGGUUUCUUUAUUUGGAUUCUCUCACAGUUUCUCCCGUUCAAAGUGUUAUGAGUUGACUUCUUUGUCUCAAGAACCUUAAAACCUGAAUCAUUUUUUGUUUCCUCAGUAUUUGAGCUCAAUUUGUGAGCUGCAGCAUCCAAACUCUUCUGCCUACAACAUUUGAAGCAACACUUAGAUUAGUGUAAACAUCUUUAUAAGACAUCACAAGAAGAAGAUCAAUCAAGUAACUCACCAAAGCUCCUCUACAAGGACAGCACAAUCUGCUAAGUUCCUUCUUGUCCGGUAACUCUUGUACACCUUUUGUACGGUAGUUGCAGCUGCAUCAAGCUCGGUGACCGGUCUAGGGGAGAAGAACACGAAAGGCUCAGGUGGAGUAAUCGUAGGUUUCUUUAUUUGGAUUCUCUCACAGUUUCUUCCAUUCAAAGUGCUAGGCGUUGACUUCUUUGUCUCCCAGACAUCAAAAUUUGAAUCAGUCUUGGUAUCUUCAGGAACCUCCCAGCUGUUGAA